ensembl:lncRNA
AACUGUCUGCCAGAAAUGAAGGACUUCCUAAAAAACUUUCCCUUUAGGGAAUUCAGUGUCUUUAUCACCAUCGUCGGCAGUUUUACUUAUAAUGUUUUACUUGAAAGAGAUGUGGUCUGCACUUGCAUAGAUGUCGAUACAGACUGCUGGAUAUACCUUUUUAUGCCGGUGUUUAUAAUUUUUUUCUUAAUACUUUGGACAGACAAGAUAUUACAGAGAACCUGCAACUACUAUAUAUUUGUAUGUUCAGAAAAGCUAGCUUUUUUCCGAGCUCGGUGUCUACAAAAGCUAGCUUCUUUGCGAGCUAGGUGUCUAAAAAAGCUAGCUUUUUUGCGAGCUUGUUGUCUAAAAAAGCCUGAUAAACCUGAUGUGGAGCAUCAACCACUUGAUGAGCAGCAAGAUCAACAAAAGAAUUCAAACUGCAGGGGAGCAUUAUGUGGUGUUUUCUGGAGUCGCAUUAUCAAGGCACUUUGUAUUGGUGUGCUGUGGGCUAUUUCUGUGCUCAUCGAUGGAGACUGGUAUGUUUGCUGUCAGAAUGAUCAUUCUGAAAAGCAAUCACAGUUAGCCUGCAAAGAUAAAACCAACAUGACACCUGAAGAAAAUGUGGACAUCAAUACCCUGAAAAACAAAUCAAGACUUUUUGGCUUCUCUGUGCUCUUGGCUAUGAUUUUUCUGGCAGCCCUGAUGUCACUAUUUGACCGGAGAUGCUAUUACAGCAAAAGACAAGUCUAUGACAGCGUGAUCCUGGAAGAAGGGGAAGAUGUACUGAAAGACACUUUGAGAAAAGCAGCGAAAGAUGAGUUACUUAAAAUGAUCUCUGAAAAAAUAAAUGGAAAUGACAAUAGGAAUGGAGGUGGAAAUGAGAACAAAGGAGGAAAUGGAAAUGGAGGAGGAAAUGGAAACAGACAUAGGAAUGGAGGUGAGAAUGGGAAUGGGGGACAAGAAGGAAAUCAAGGGGGUGGACAAGAAAAUGGGAAUGGAGUAGGAAACGUAGGUGGAAAUGAGAACGGAGGAGGAAAUGGAAAUGGAGGAGGAAAUGGAAACAGACAUAGGAAUGGAGUAGGAAACGUAGGUGGAAAUGAGAACGGAGGAGGAAAUGGAAAUGGAGGAGGAAAUGGAAACAGACAUAGGAAUGGAGGAAAUGGAAAUGGAGGAGGAAAUGGAAACAGACAUAGGAAUGGAGUAGGAAACGUAGGUGGAAAUGAGAACGGAGGAGGAAAUGGAAAUGGAGGAGGAAAUGGAAACAGACAUAGGAAUGGAGGUGAGAAUGGGAAUGGGGGACAAGAAGGAAAUCAAGGGGGUGGACAAGAAAAUGGGAAUGGAGUAGGAAACGUAGGUGGAAAUGAGAACGGAGGAGGAAAUAGAAAUGGAGGAGGAAAUGGAAACAGACAUAGGAAUGGAGGUGAGAAUGGGAAUGGGGGACAAGAAGGAAAUCAAGGGGGUGGACAAGAAAAUGGGAAUGGAGUAGGAAACGUAGGUGGAAAUGAGAACGGAGGAGGAAAUGGAAAUGGAGGAGGAAAAGGUAAAGAGGGUGGAAAUGAGCAUAAAUGGAUAGAAUGUUUUGAUGUUGCUGCACAAAUGAUUAAAAACUCAAGCAUACCAAAACUUUCCAAAGAACAACGAAAGGAAGAAAUAGUAGUACGGAUCCACAGUGAGCUCUGAAACAGCAGCAGAAGUGACUGACUGUCAACAUCUUUUACAGCACCGUGCUGAAAUUGCCUUGAACAGCAAUUUAAAGUAAUUUAAAAAUCAUAAAACUCCACAAACUAAUUCCACAUGAUUAUUAUUGUAUUUUAUAUUUAAGUCUUUUUCUUAUAAAUGACUGUCCAACAUUCAACUUAUAGUUACAUUAAAGUUGUUAAAUGUGUAAGAGAUUAUUUAGUGACUUUAUAUUUGUUUUCUUUUGUAUGGGAUGGAUUUGGACAAAUAUAAUAUAUAACAGGUUCUCUUGUUCCUGCAUGGUGCUGCCCUUAAUGUUUGCAGGUAACUGCCAUUUUGUGGCAUUGAUGUAAAAAGCCAGUUUGAGUCUCAGGCUACAUCCACAUGUACACGGGUAUUUUUGAAAACAGAGAUUUUCCGUUUUCUUUUUUUCUUUUUUUUAAUCCUGUCUAAAUGCUGCCAGGAACAUGCCAAAGCAACAGGUGGUGAUAUAUUCCUAACCAUGUAGAAAUGUAAUGUCGGUUGAUGCAUGCACUCUAUAUUCAUAUAUUUCUUUAACACACAUAUAUACAAUUGUAAAAGCAAAACCUUUUACUGUUAUACAAGAAAAUCAUUAGUACAUCAUUAAUGUCAAAGUUUUUUACAGUGAAUAUGGUCGUGUUCUUGUGAGAAGUCAUUGUUCUAGACCUUUUUUCUGAACAAACAUGUUGACUCGUGACCUCCAAUAAAAGAAAUAAAAGCUUGGGAGUCCCUGUAGCAGCUUCAGUAACUAAGUCCAAUAAAUUAUCUACAUUUGUGAUUUUUCUGCUUUGGAAUUUUAGGAUCUGUGCUGUGAAAAAAGCUUUAAUAUUUAAAUCUGAUCACUUUUUAAUACUUGCUGUUGGACUCUUUCACCUUAAUGAGCUAAUCACCAACAUCUGUAUGCUGCCUGCUCCAUUCAUGUCUCUGUAUUUUUUGUGACUAUUUUUUUUUGUUUGUGCCACUAUCUAGUCAUUUACAUGUCUUGCUUGAUUGAUGUCAUUUCUUUGUCAUUUAUUUCUCUUUGAUUUUUUUUCCCCUUAAAUUGCGAUUUUGUGUUUCUGUCUUCUCUUUUCUUUGUUGUUGAUGUGUUUGCCUUUCUGUUUUCUUCAUUUCUGUGUGGUCACUUUGUAGAUAGGGCACUGAAAAUUUAAAAAAAAAUCAAAUAAUAAGUAAGCGGGGAUGGGGAUCAGUGUGAAAUUCAUCUAGUCUUAAGGUCUCUUUUAAUUUAAAAAGAAUAUUAAACAAUUAAUAUGAAACCUUUUUUAUUAUCUCAAGAACUUUAGUUGACCUGCUUAUUUUAAAAUAAGUGUAUUCAGAUGCAUGAAAUCAGAUGAUUGUUUCUCAAAAUAAUAUUUAUCUGUGUUUAAAUAACAAUAAAUAACAGAUUGUCAGAUCAAUUGAAAUGACAGGGCAAAGAAAUUGUUGAGCUCUUCUUUUAGUAUGUGGCUGUUGUCAGUGGUUUGGGGUCCCUGGCCUUUGCAGCUGGUGAAUAAUCAUUUGGAUGUUAUUAAAAAGAGUACCUUAAACUGCAGCAUUCAGGCUUCUAUUUUUCUCUUGUUUUUCUCUUGCUUCACUCUGGCGUCUCCUGCUGGAUUAAGGCUCAAAGUGUAGGUGUAUUUUCCUCACCAACCAGGAAACUUUGCUUCUUUUUAUUUAUUUCAAGGGCGUAGAUUUGGUUUUGGCAUUGGUGGGGACGGAUGAUUCAACCACCAAACUCUGCCCUGUUUCUUUUUUUUUUCCGUUUUGUUUUUGCUUCUUAAUAAAAAGAGGAGAAAUAUACUUGCCUACAUAUGCUAUUCUACGUGCUUUUAAACCAUUUAAAAUCACAAUUCAUAGUUAUAUGUGAAUUAUAUAAUGUUAAAUUACUAUUAAACAAAUGACUAAGUAUUUU